rnacentral:tRNA from 1 species
AAAGAAUUAGUUAAAAAAUAACAUUAGAAUGUCAAACUAAAAUUAUUAAAAUAACUUAAUAUUCUUUA